rnacentral:miRNA from 1 species
GGGUUAAAAUGCGGAACGGAACGAAUAUGAGGUUAAAACUUAUUUUAAAACCCAUAUCCGUUCCGUUCCGCAUUUUAACCCCAUAUCCGUUC